rnacentral:rRNA from 1 species
UACAGAGGUCCCAAGCGUUGUUCGGAUUCACUGGGCGUAAAGGGUGCGUAGGUGGUGAGGAAAGUCGGAUGUGAAAUCUCCGGGCUUAACCCGGAAAUGGCAUUGGAAACUACCUUGCUAGAGGUUUUGAGGGGGGACUGGAAUUCUCGGUGUAGCAGUGAAAUGCGUAGAUAUCGAGAGGAACACCAGUGGCGAAGGCGAGUCCCUGGAAAACACCUGACACUGAGGCACGAAAGCUAGGGGAGCAAACAGG